GUCGAACGAUGAACCUCACUUGUGGGGGGAUUAGUGGCGAACGGGUGAGUAACACGUGAGUAACCUGCCCUUGACUCUGGGAUAAGCCUGGGAAACUGGGUCUAAUACCGGAUAUGACCUUCCAUCGCAUGGUGGUUGGUGGAAAGCUUUUGCGGUUUUGGAUGGACUCGCGGCCUAUCAGCUUGUUGGUGGGGUAAUGGCCUACCAAGGCGACGACGGGUAGCCGGCCUGAGAGGGUGACCGGCCACACUGGGACUGAGACACGGCCCAGACUCCUACGGGAGGCAGCAGUGGGGAAUAUUGCACAAUGGGCGCAAGCCUGAUGCAGCGACGCCGCGUGAGGGAUGACGGCCUUCGGGUUGUAAACCUCUUUCAGUAGGGAAGAAGCGUAAGUGACGGUACCUGCAGAAGAAGCGCCGGCUAACUACGUGCCAGCAGCCGCGGUAAUACGUAUGGCGCAAGCGUUAUCCGGAAUUAUUGGGCGUAAAGAGCUCGUAGGCGGUUUGUCGCGUCUGCCGUGAAAGUCCGGGGCUCAACUCCUGAUCUGCGGUGGGUACGGGCAGACUAUAGUGAUGUAGGGGAGACUGGAAUUCCUGGUGUACCGGUGAAAUGCGCAGAUAUGACGAGGAACACCGAUGGC
rnacentral:rRNA from 1 species